AUGCUUAGCCCUACAAAGAUCUUAAUUGUUCUCUCUGCUUGUUUCAGGUGGAGCUGGUACUACAUUCUGAGGCAAAUGGAGUUUUUCCUGAGAUUCUUCAAUCAGGAAAGGAGAGAGGAAAGGCCAGAGGCCCUGGGCUCAGUGGCUGGGGUCUCCACCCUGUGAGCUCUGACGGAAUUUUAGUGCAAUCCAGCAUCGUUCAUCAUUGUCAGGUCUCUGUUGCACUGAGAGAUCGCCACAGCAAGUGCAAAUCCACUGUUCAGACAUCAGAUAGGCCCAUGUUGGCUUUGGAGUAGCUGGAACCAGGCCCUGAGGUUGUGGCAAGGAAUGCAGCUUUCUCUUACUUGGGCAAAAACUAUGCAGAAUCUCCUAUAAAGGAAUAAGCUUCUCUUCGGAAAUAUGCGGGACAUGCUAUAUAGCACCAGCCAUGGGACAUGGAAAGAGGAGAAAGAGAUUCCCUGUUUUGCAGAGGGAUACCUCAGAACGAGUCACAGAAAAAGCAGGCUUCUGGGAUUUCUCUGCCUCUGUUGUUCUAACCACCAUCUACUCUCAUGUCCCCUAGACCUGUACCCCUAAAGCCAGCCUAUUUAAAAUAAAUCUCCCACAGUCUGUUCAAA
rnacentral:lncRNA from 12 species